rnacentral:rRNA from 1 species
GAUGAACGCUGGCGGCGUGCUUAACACAUGCAAGUCGAGCGAAGCAGUUAAGUUGAUUUCUUCGGAUUGAUUCUUGACUGACUGAGCGGCGGACGGGUGAGUAACGCGUGGGUGACCUGCCCCAUACCGGGGGAUAACAGCUGGAAACGGCUGCUAAUACCGCAUAAGCGCCCAGAGCUGCAUGGCUCGGUGGGAAAAACUCCGGUGGUAUGGGAUGGGCCCGCGUCUGAUUAGGCAGUUGGCGGGGUAACGGCCCACCAAACCGACGAUCAGUAGCCGGCCUGAGAGGGCGACCGGCCACAUUGGGACUGAGACACGGCCCAAACUCCUACGGGAGGCAGCAGUGGGGAAUAUUGCACAAUGGGGGAAACCCUGAUGCAGCGACGCCGCGUGAGCGAAGAAGUAUUUCGGUAUGUAAAGCUCUAUCAGCAGGGAAGAUAAUGACGGUACCUGACUAAGAAGCCCCGGCUAACUACGUGCCAGCCGCCGCCGUAA